rnacentral:ncRNA from 2 species
UAAAAUAGCUACUUCUAAUUUCGUAUAACCUUGAGUAAUAUGGACCGAGGGUAUCUACUUGGAACCGUAAAUUCCUAGCUACGAAAAAUGUGUGUGAUUGC